rnacentral:rRNA from 1 species
UACGUAGGGAGCAAGCGUUGUCCGGAAUUACUGGGCGUAAAGGGCGCGUAGGCGGGUUAUUAAGUCAGAUGUGAAAACUCCGGGCUUAACUUGGAGACUGCAUUUGAAACUGGUAAUCUUGAGGUCAGGAGAGGAAAGUGGAAUUCCUAGUGUAGCGGUGAAAUGCGUAGAUAUUAGGAGGAACACCAGUGGCGAAGGCGACUUUCUGGACUGUACCUGACGCUGAUGCGCGAAAGCGUGGGUAGCGAACGGGAUUAGAUACCCGGGUAGUCCCUGAGCGGG